UGGGGAAUAUUGCACAAUGGAGGGAACUCUGAUGCAGCGACGCCGCGUGAACGAAGAAGGCUUUCGAGUCGUAAAGUUCUUUUAUAUGGGAAGAUAAUGACGGUACCAUAAGAAAAAGCCCCGGCUAACUACGUGCCAGCAGCCGCGGUAAUACGUAGGGGGCUAGCGUUGUCCGGAAUCACUGGGCGUAAAGGGUUCGCAGGCGGAAAUGCAAGUCAGGUGUAAAAGGCAGUAGCUUAACUACUGUAAGCAUUUGAAACUGCAUAUCUUGAGAAGAGUAGAGGUAAGUGGAAUUUUUAGUGUAGCGGUGAAAUGCGUAGAGAUUAGGAGGAACACCGGUGGCGAAAGCGGCUUUUUGGCCUGCAACUGACACUGAGGCGCGAAAGCGUGGGGAGCAAACAGG
rnacentral:rRNA from 1 species